CGUGAGUGAAGAAGGCCUUCGGGUUGUAAAGCUCUUUUGUCAGGGAAGAAACGGGCCUUUCUAAUACAGGGGCCUAAUGACGGUACCUGAAGAAUAAGCACCGGCUAACUACGUGCCAGCAGCCGCGGUAAUACGUAGGGUGCAAGCGUUAAUCGGAAUUACUGGGCGUAAAGCGUGCGCAGGCGGUUUUGUAAGACUGUCGUGAAAUCCCCGGGCUCAACCUGGGAAUGGCGAUGGUGACUGCAAGGCUAGAGUUUGGCAGAGGGGGGUAGAAUUCCACGUGUAGCAGUGAAAUGCGUAGAUAUGUGGAGGAACACCGAUGGCGAAGGCAGCCCCCUGGGUCAAAACUGACGCUCAUGCACGAAAGCGUGGGGAGCAAACAGGAUUAGAUACCCUGGUAGUCCACGCCCUAAACGAUGUCUACUAGUUGUCGGGUUUUAAUUAACUUGGUAACGCAGCUAACGCGUGAAGUAGACCGCCUGGGGAGUACGGUCGCAAGAUUAAAACUCAAAGGAAUUGACGGGGACCCGCACAAGCGGUGGAUGAUGUGGAUUAAUUCGAUGCAACGCGAAAAACCUUACCUACCCUUGACAUGGCAGAAAUCCCGGAGAGAUUCGGGAGUGCUCGAAAGAGAAUCUGCACACAGGUGCUGCAUGGCUGUCGUCAGCUCGUGUCGUGAGAUGUUGGGUUAAGUCCCGCAACGAGCGCAACCCUUGUCAUUAGUUGCUACGAAAGAGCACUCUAAUGAGACUGCCGGUGACAAACCGGAGGAAGGUGGGGAUGACGUCAAGUCCUCAUGGCCCUUAUGGGUAGGGCUUCACACGUCAUACAAUGGUACAUACAGAGGGCCGCCAACCCGCGAGGGGGAGCUAAUCCCAGAAAGUGUAUCGUAGUCCGGAUUGUAGUCUGCAACUCGACUGCAUGAAGUUGGAAUCGCUAGUAAUCGCGGAUCAGCAUGUCGCGGUGAAUACGUUCCCGGGUCUUGUACACACCGCCCGUCACACCAUGGGAGCGGGUUUUACCAGAAGUAGGUAGCUUAACCGCAAGGAGGGCGCUUACCACGGUAGGAUUCGUGACUGGGGUGAAGUCGUAACAAGGUAGCCGUAUCGGAAGGUGCGGCUGGAUCACCU
rnacentral:rRNA from 1 species